CCUACGGGUGGCAGCAGUGAGGAAUAUUGGUCAAUGGACGAGAGUCUGAACCAGCCAAGUAGCGUGAAGGAUGACUGCCCUAUGGGUUGUAAACUUCUUUUAUAUGGGAAUAAAACGUUCCACGUGUGGGAUUUUGUAUGUACCAUAUGAAUAAGGAUCGGCUAACUCCGUGCCAGCAGCCGCGGUAAUACGGAGGAUCCGAGCGUUAUCCGGAUUUAUUGGGUUUAAAGGGAGCGUAGGUGGAUUGUUAAGUCAGUUGUGAAAGUUUGCGGCUCAACCGUAAAAGUGCAGUUGAAACUGGCAGUCUUGAGUACAGUAGAGGUGGGCGGAAUUCGUGGUGUAGCGGUGAAAUGCUUAGAUAUCACGAAGAACUCCGAUUGCGAAGGCAGUUCACUGGACUGCAACUGACACUGAGGCUCGAAAGUGUGGGUAUCAAACAGGAUUAGAUACCCUUGUAGUC
rnacentral:rRNA from 1 species